UAAGAUUUAUAACAUUAACAGCUAGAGGGUUCUUAUCAAGAUUAGAGAAAUAUUUUGUUGGUACAAAAUUAUUAAUUUGAACAUAAUGAUCUUCAUCCGUUCUCGGUACAAAUUUAAUACAGGUGUAGUGUCUGAAAUGAUCCAUUGCCAUAUCGAUCAUAUUAAGCUGGCGGGCUGUAAAAUAUCCGUUUAUUAUGUAUGGUAUUCUUCCGUCUGUCCAUAGAUACAUAGGAUUUCUCAAACCAUUUUUGAAAACAUGGCUAUUCUGACUUCGUUGACUGCUGCCCUGAAAAGUCCGGUAGUGGUUAAGUUAAACCAUUAUCGCAGAUUAUGCAGCCAGGAUAUUCUUCCUCGUCCUGGACCUCUUUUCCCAUGAACUUUAACUUGAAGUAUGGUCCGAAGUAGGUAAUAUCGUUGUUCAUUGCGCAUUACAUGGCCCAGGUAUUCCAGUUUGCGACGUUUUAUGGUUACGACUAGUUCGCGCUCUUUACCCAUUCUAUGUAGAACUUCUUCGUUGGUAACUCUGUCUAUCCAGGAAAUCCUCAACAUGCGUCUAUAGCACCACAUCUCAAAUGCUUCGAGUCUCUUCAGUGAUGCUUCGGUUAAGGUCCAUGACUCCACGCCAUAUAAAAGAACGUAGAAUACGUAGCAUUUUAGUAAACGAACUUUUAUUUCCAAUUUUAUAUCGUGGCUGUUAAAUAUUUUUUUUAUUUUAACGAAAGCUGAUCUUGCCUUCCCGAUCCUUAUCUUAAUUUAGUUUGCACCCAAAUAACAAAAGUUUUUACUUUAUUCUUUGGUGAGUAUACAUAUUCAUUUCUUAGACAGUUGGGCAAAGGUUUACUCAAACUUCUUUUUGAAACUUAUACCAGGAGGAAAAAAAAUAAUGUUUAUCUUAUGUUAAAUUUGCAACAUCCUGUAGGCAGGAUGAGAUAAAAGUGUGGAUAAUAGUAUACAUUGAAAUGGUAUUGGAGUCUUGGUGUUUUGUAAACAUUCUGUUUUUGAAUGGCUGAUAUCUUUAGAAACAAAGAAAAUAUACGCUUUUAUUCUUUAACAUGACAUGUUUUAACUGAAAGAAAACUAAAUUAACAAUAAAAAACCAGUUAACAAUUCUUUAAAAACGGAAAGGCAUAUAUCGUUAACAAUUCUGGUCGACACCAUAAGAGUUAUUUGUCGAACAAGUGAGCAAGAUGUACAGCGCAACAUAAUAGAGACUAGAUUGUUUAAUGGAGGCUCUGUGAUGUUUAGGAGUGGAAUUUACUUAAGAGUAAGUACGGAUUUGGUGUCUACGUGGAGUCUAUUUAAAUAGAGAGUGGUACAUUGCGCAGAUUUUCUCUCUCUGAACAAUUUGUUUCUUUCACACUAUAAUAUAUGAAAAUAAGAUCAUCUUAGUCUUUAAUACGACAUGGAAUCUUCACGUAUCACAUGUCGUCAGUUAAAACACGUAAUAUACAGUUAAACCGUCUAGGUUCUUUAUUAUUAAAGAAAUCACACAAACAAAAAAAAAUAAAA